UUCCAUCAGAAGAAAUAAGGUGGAAUUAAGAAUAAUAGCUCUAGGGCUGGUCCGUCAGGGAAGGCAGCGAAGGCUUAACUAUCAAGUUUAUCUUGUAUAACCUC